rnacentral:lncRNA from 1 species
GAUUGCUUAACAUUUUUCCAGGCCAUCAAAUAUGACCUUAGGAACAAUAAUCACUGCCCGCCAUGGCCGUUCCUCCUAGUUUUGUGUUUUACGGCCAAAAGAUUAGAAUUUCACCCGAUUCCCAUAUAUUCGUGUGCUAUAUAGAGCCCACGCCUUCUGAGUGGGUCUGGUCCCCCAGAUCCCGAUCACCUAAAAUUAUUCCGGGCCAUCAAAUAUGACCUAAGGAACCAUAGUCACCGCCCCGCCAUGGCCGUUCCUCGUUGUUUUGCGUUUUACGGCCAAAAAACUAGAAUUCCGCCUGAUUCCCAUAUAUUCGUGUUCUAUAACCCACGCCUUCCUAGUGGGUCCAGGCCCCCCGGACCCCAAUCGCCUAAAAAAUUUUCGGGCUAUCAAAUACGACCU